CUACGGGGUGCAGCAGUGAGGAAUUUUGCGCAAUGGGGGAAACCCUGACGCAGCAACGCCGUGUGAGUGAAGAAGGCCUUCGGGUCGUAAAGCUCUGUCAAGUGGGAAAAAAGUCUUUCGGUAAAUAGCCGGAAGGCCUGAUGGUACCACUAAAGGAAGCACCGGCUAACUCCGUGCCAGCAGCCGCGGUAAUACGGAGGGUGCUAGCGUUGUUCGGAAUUAUUGGGCGUAAAGAGCGUGUAGGCGGCUUGGUAAGUCAGAUGUGAAAGCCCUGGGCUCAACUCAGGAAGUGCAUUUGAUACUGCUUUGCUUGAGUAUGGGAGAGGAGAGUGGAAUUCCCAGUGUAGAGGUGAAAUUCGUAGAUAUUGGGAGGAACACCCGUGGCGAAGGCGACUCUCUGGACCAAUACUGACGCUGAGACGCGAAAGCGUGGGGAGCAAACAGGAUUAGAUACCCGAGUAGUC
rnacentral:rRNA from 1 species